UACGUAGGGUGCAAGCGUUACUCGGAAUUACUGGGCGUAAAGCGUGCGCAGGCGGUUUUGUAAGUCUGUUGUGAAAUCCCCGGGCUCAACCUGGGAAUUGCGAUGGAGACUGCAAGGCUAGAAUCUGGCAGAGGGGGGUAGAAUUCCACGUGUAGCAGUGAAAUGCGUAGAGAUGUGGAGGAACACCGAUGGCGAAGGCAGCCCCCUGGGUCAAGAUUGACGCUCAUGCACGAAAGCGUGGGGAGCAAACAGG
rnacentral:rRNA from 1 species